GCCAGUGUGAUGUAGUGGUCUGAAUGUUGGACUAUGACUCUGGAGAUCAGGGUUCAACUCCCUACUUGGCCA